rnacentral:rRNA from 1 species
AACGAACGCUGGCGGCAUGCCUAACACAUGCAAGUCGAACGAGACCUUCGGGUCUAGUAGCGCACGGGUGCGUAACGCGUGGGAACCUGCCCUUAGGUUCGGAAUAACUCCCCGACAGGGGUGCUAAUACCGGAUAAUGUCUUCGGACCAAAGAUUUAUCGCCUUUGGAUGGGCCCGCGUUGGAUUAGCUAGUUGGUAGGGUAAAAGCCUACCAAGGCGACGAUCCAUAGCUGGUCUGAGAGGAUGAUCAGCCACACUGGGACUGAGACACGGCCCAGACUCCUACGGGAGGCAGCAGUGGGGAAUAUUGGACAAUGGGCGAAAGCCUGAUCCAGCAAUGCCGCGUGAGUGAUGAAGGCCUUAGGGUUGUAAAGCUCUUUUACCCGGGAUGAUAAUGACAGUACCGGGAGAAUAAGCUCUGGCUAACUCCGUG